UCUGGCGAUGAUAGCGACAGGGAUACACCUCUUCCCAUUCCGAACAGAGAAGUUAAGCCUGUCUGCGCCAAUGGUACUGCCCGGUUCGCUGGGUGGGAGAGUAGGUCGUCGCCAGAG
rnacentral:rRNA from 2 species